GCCGAGCCUGGUAACGUGGGCUUGUAACCUAUGUAGGGGCAAUAAUGUGGUNAUAACUUUACUGUCACAACACUUAUAACAUAUUA
rnacentral:SRP_RNA from 1 species